GAUGAACGCUGGCGGCGUGCCUAAUACAUGCAAGUCGAGCGAAUGGAUUAAGAGCUUGCUCUUAUGAAGUUAGCGGCGGACGGGUGAGUAACACGUGGGUAACCUGCCCAUAAGACUGGGAUAACUCCGGGAAACCGGGGCUAAUACCGGAUAACAUUUUGAACCGCAUGGUUCGAAAUUGAAAGGCGGCUUCGGCUGUCACUUAUGGAUGGACCCGCGUCGCAUUAGCUAGUUGGUGAGGUAACGGCUCACCAAGGCAACGAUGCGUAGCCGAACUGAUGGGGUGAUCAGCCGCACUGGGACUGAGACACGGCCCAGACUCCUACGGGAGGCAGCAGUAGGGAAUCUUCCGCAAUGGACGAAAGUCUGACGGAGCAACGCCGCGUGAGUGAUGAAGGCUUUCGGGUCGUAAAACUCUGUUGUUAGGGAAGAACAAGUGCUAGUUGAAUAAGCUGGCACCUUGACGGUACCUAACCAGAAAGCCACGGCUAACUACGUGCCAGCAGCCGCGGUAA
rnacentral:rRNA from 1 species